UUUAUACUUGUUCUUCUUGAUCACAGUUGAUUGGCAUGCUGCUGGCUUGCUGUCUGUCCCGGUUCAUCACUGCCAAUCAGUAUGAGAUGGUGUAAAGAGAAGUCUUUCAAGAACUUUGGAAUAAGAGGCCUGUUUUUAAAAAGGAACUGCCGCAAUCUCUGAAAGACUUCCAAAGAACGUUAGAGCACAGUACAUACUAUCCCUGCCCUGCUCCCACCCCCAGCUCCCUGCAACCCCUCCCCCUACGUGCAACUGACACUCCUACCCAGUCAAAGCUCUGCCUUUCAGCCCACGUCAUACGUAGUGUCCAUCUUGUGAAGCCCUGUUGUGCCCCACAGUGUAGCCAGGCCCCCUGCAGCUAGUCAUAGUGAAGCCCGCCCUAAGGCCCUGUGAGUGCCAGCUCCCUCACACGUACUUGGUCCGACCUGUAGGUGACUGGUUAUCACAUCUUCACUGGCCCCUGUGGCCCUGCAUGUAGUAGGGGAGGCUUCAGUCAGCCCCUCACUGUGGUCCAAGAAUGCCACGCACCUUUCCGUAGAUAUGCAGAUGGUAAUUAUCUUUUCUUUUGGCUUAAUCAGAUUUGGUUUGGUUUUUCCCUUUCCUGGGAUUCUUUCCUACCUUCUUCAGGCUGUCAAGCACGGGAGAGGAGACACAGUGGGAGGGAUUCAUAAGGAGGAAACAGCGUCUGGCAGGCAUGGCAGAAAGUGCUAUUAAGCAUUAGCUGGCCUCCUUGUUCAUUGUUCCAAGAGAUGGGUGUGGAGAGAGCGCUUAGUGUAGGAUCCUCUCAAAUGAAGCCUGUGUAAUCCUGUUACAGGUUGUGUUGUUACGUCCCUGAUUUGCCCCAACUACUUACUAUUAUUUCGCUUUCGUUUUCCUGUAUUUCUUUUUCUUGCAUUGACAUUAUAGACUUUGAGGACCUCAUCAGAUCAAUUUAAAAGUGAGUGUGGAAGGGAAACGAAAGUCAACAUAUUUUUAAAAGAUCUUAAAAAUAAUGCCUCUGUCUAGCAUGCCAACAAGAAUGCAUUGAUAUUGUGAACAUUUGUGAUACAUGUAUUAAUAAAUAGAGCAGUUAAAAAUGGC